rnacentral:tRNA from 1 species
CGGGGUAGAGCAGUGGCAGCUCGUCGGGCUCAUAACCCGGAGGUCCCAGGUUCGAAUCCUGGCCCCGCUACUACCA